rnacentral:misc_RNA from 1 species
AAAAGAAAAAUAAAAUAAAAUAAAGCUUGAAUACAAUCAUGAGAGAGCACAAUCAAGUUGGCUCUUUAACGUUAUUAUAACAAAUUUGUAAGAGAUUUUAAAGUUCCUAGUGUCCAAUAUAUAAGAGAAACAUAAAUGCACCCAAAAAGAAAAAGAGCAGCAGAAAAAUUGAGCAUAAUAAAUUGGCGAGUGGGUAGUGUAUGCAGUGAAUCAUAUACAAUGAUCAUUAUCUACAGUGAAUCAUAUCUAUUUAUAAGCUUGCAUUUAUUGCUUGAACAACAUAACAAACAAAUAAAUAAGAGGAUGGAGCAUUCACCUUGAACGUUGAAAGGUUAGCUAUGAUUUUACUAAAAGCUUGAGCAUUUUGUUCCAAGAGAUGCCUGGAUGUACCACUUAUUCCAUCAAAAGACAAGGGUUCGCCGUGGUCUACAUGGUGCAUCAUUAGAGGAUACACAGGUAUGCUCUGUGGCACAGCUGAAGAUAUAUUCAUCUUUGGUGAUGAUUCCACCAGCUUAUCCUUCCUAUUAUUGACCUUCUUUCCCAAAUUAUAUUCCUCUGCUUUCCUUCGCUUUCUCGUCAUCCACCUACACCUCAAUGCAACAUCACGUACAGUUUUAUCAGGCAAGGUGGCUGCAAUCUUUAUGUAUCUCA